rnacentral:rRNA from 1 species
AUACGUAGGGUGCUAGCGUUAUCCGGAUUUACUGGGCGUAAAGGGUGCGUAGGUGGUCUUUCAAGUCGGUGGUUAAAGGCUACGGCUCAACCGUAUUAAGCCGCCGAAACUGGAAGACUUGAGUGCAGGAGAGGAAAGUGGAAUUCUCAGUGUAGCGGUGAAAUGCGUAGAUAUUGAGAAGAACACCAGUAGCGAAGGCGGCUUUCUGGACUGUAACUGACACUGAGGCACGAAAGCGUGGGUAGCAAACAGGAUUAGAUACCCUGGUAGUCCACGCCGUAAACGAUGAGUAUUAGGUGUCGGGGGUUACCCCCCUCGGUGCCGCAGUUAACGCAUUAAAUACUCCGCCUGGGGAGUACGCACGCAAGUGUGAAACUUAAAGGAAUGGACGGGG